rnacentral:rRNA from 1 species
CAAUAGCGUAUAUUAAAGUUGUUGCAGUUAAAAAGCUCGUAGUUGGAUUUCUGGUGGGAGCGAUCGGUCUGGCGCUUAGCGCGAGUACUUGCAUCGUCUCCGGCCAUCCUUGGGGAGAGUCUGUCUGGCAUUAGGUUGUCGGGCAGAGGAUCCUCAUCGUAUACUGUGAAAAAAUUAGAGUGUUCAAAGCAGGCUUAUGCCGUUGAAUAUAUUAGCAUGGAAUAAUAAGAUAGGACUUUGGUACUAUUUUGUUGGUUUGCGCACCAAAGUAAUGAUUAAUAGGGACAGUUGGGGGUAUUCGUAUUCCGUUGUCAGAGGUGAAAUUCUUGGAUUUACGGAAGACGAACUACUGCGAAAGCAUUUACCAAGGAUGUUUUCAUUAA